UACGUAGGGGGCAAGCGUUGUCCGGAAUCAUUGGGCGUAAAGCGCGCGUAGGCGGCCCGAUAAGUCCGCUGUAAAAGUCCAGGGCUCAACCCUGGAAAGCCGGUGGAUACUGUCGGGCUAGAGUCCGGAAGAGGCGAGUGGAAUUCCUGGUGUAGCGGUGGAAUGCGCAGAUAUCAGGAGGAACACCGGUGGCGAAGGCGGGUCUCUGGGCCGAUACUGACGCUGAGGUGCGAAAGCGUGGGGAGCAAACAGG
rnacentral:rRNA from 1 species